AAAAAAAAAAAAAGUGUCCUAAUUAGGUUAACCAAAAGUCAUGGUUAAGGUGGAGAGACAAAAAAUAUUCCUCUUUCAUGCAUCAACAUUGACACUCACCGCCAUUCUUGCUUUAUUUUCUUCAUCUUCAUUCUCUCUCUCUCUCGCUCUCUCUCUGAUUAUGAUCUCAUUAUCAUAUAGUUCUUAAUGGUGAUUAUCAUAUAUUAAGAUAUUUAUAUUCCUAAUCAGAAGAACAAAUCCAUGAUUCCAUCGUACCUUCACUUCUUGUAGCCACAUUCUCUUGCCCCAGCUUAUGGUCACCACAAAAAUCUGAUGAUGAAGCCAAGAAGUUAACUUUCCCAUUUGUAACACGCUGGGUUGAGUUAUUGUAAUCACCAUUAAUUGACCUUAAAAGACCUUGUUGUUGUUGUUGUUGAUGAUGAUGAUGAUCAACCUCAUUUGAACCAGCCCCAUCUCCCCAGUUUGUAAGACUGUUGCUGUGAUCACUUCUUCUCACUAAUGUUACAUCUGCUGAGGGUGAUGAUGAUGAAACUAUGUUUUGAAGGCCUGAAAGGUUUGUGUUAACAUGGCCAUGGUUCAACCCGAACUCUUCUAAAACAACCAUUUUCAGAUGUGAAACAUUUAAAGGAAUUUCUAAAGAACCUUGUUGUGGUUUUGUGGUGCCAAGAAUAUUGGGCGAAUCUGGAAGCGGGUAUUUGGGCGGGGCUUGAAGAAGUGGGUGGAAAUUGAGAAUUGGGUUUUGGACGUUGAGGUUGAGCAAGUUAUGUGGCUGUUUCAAAAGGCCUAAAUCAGAAGGUAGUUGGUAGUUAAUGGAUGUUAAAGGGAUAUUAUUUGAAAUGGUAGUGUUAGUACAAGUGCCAUUGAUGUUGGUUGCAGUAGUGGAAGCUAUAGCAUCAACCAUAGAAGCAGAAAAUGAUGAUGCAGCAGAACCUGAAGAGACAAAUGGUGGUGGUGGAGGUGGUUGGAAUUUUUUAGCAAAAGGUCCUAAGAGGUAGGGGGGUGGUGAAGGGUCCAAAUGUUGAGAGACAGCUGAUCUCAAAGUGGAGGCUGCAGUCCCAAAUAGAUCAAGUCUGCUCCUUGGGAAAGGUGAGGAUGUGAAGGGUGGUGCAGGGAUCCCUGUAAACUCCUGAACCAUGGCUCUGAAAUUGGUGGUGUCCGUGCUCAAGACAGUUGUUGGUGCACGCCUAGAAGCUCUUGAUCUUUUCUUCGGGUUUCUAAUCCCUGCAGUGUUGCUGACUUGAUCAUUUGUCCCUGAAACUGAACCUGAACCUGGAACUCUUGUAGCACUUUCUUGUCCAUGUGAUGGUAGAGACUGAAAAGUGGUUCUAUUUUGAGUUUGGUUGGUGAACUGUUGGGUUGGUAAGGAAGAGGAAAUGAACCCACCAAGAUCAGUGCAAUUGGGGUCAGAUCUUAAGUUCUUUGACCAGACCAUAUCAAGGUUGUUGAGUGAAUUUGGGUUCGUAAGUGAUUGUAGUGGUGAUCUUGAUGAUGAUGAUGAUGGUGCUAAAGGAUCAAAAUAGUUUGAAAAAGGGUCAAAAAACAUAGUUGAAGAUGAAGAAGAGUGGUGGGAUUGGUGGUGGUGAUGGUCUGGUUCUGGCGGUUGGUUAUGAGGCAUGGGACCAACAUGGCUGAAAGGGUUGUUUUUGUUAUUGUUGCUGUUCAAGAAAGCUGAGAUUGACUCAGCGCGUGAUGAAUCAUACUCUUCAUCUCCACCACUUGAGGAUUGCAUACUUCCACUAUUGCUAGAAUCCAUUUUUCUUCAAGAAAAAGAGAGAGAAACAAAAAGGGAAAGACGUAAAAGAAAACAGAGAUAUGUAUGCAGUGAGAUUUUUGCUGAUGUUACUUGUAACUCACACACACAAGCUCAUUUUAAGAAGGGGGAGAAAGAACCUCCAAAACAAAGCAUGAUGUAAUAUAAAGAAGAAAGAAAGAAAGAGAAAGAUCUUCUGGGAGAUAAAAUCAAGGAGAGCUAUAUCAGAAAAGUACCCAAGUUGUCUUUAAAGCUCUGAUCUGCAAAGAAGACAGCGUUCGGCUUGCUUUUACUCUGUCUUUCGAAAAAAGGGUAUUUUAUUGUUGUAAAGAAUGGAAUAAACAGCCCACGGAUCAUGAAAUUGAUAGUUCCAUCAGAGAAGAAAGAGAUAGAGAGAUAAAAAGAUAAAUGGAAUUAAGUUCACUCUCUUUGGGUGUUUUCCGUUCCCUUCUGUGUUUAAGCCUAAUACGAGGGGUACUGAAGUGAAUUAGGGUUUUCUUUGAGAAGUAAAAGAGACAGAGAGAGGUGCUUCUCUAGCAUUUUCAUCUCCCAAACAGAGCUGCUUCUGCUCGCGGUUUCUCUCAAAAGAUCAGGGUGGGGUAGCCAUGAGAGAGAGAUGGAGGGAGGGAGGAGGUGGUGAUUGGAGAGGCAAGUGGUCAAAGUAUGUGAGACUUGCAGUUUUGAUUCACAGUGUGAGAAGAAGAAAAGGAUAUGGGGUCAAAGGAGAGCGGUUAAAGUAUAGUACUACAGUACUAAUCUUGUAAUUAACGUUACGGCAUGGUAGUCUUCCAAGCUAAUUUAUAAUAUAAUAAAAAAAUAUGUAUUUUAUGGAUGUGUUUUCAAGUAUUAUAACCUUUUAAUUAAAAAAAUGUGAAUAUAUUAUUUAUAUAUAAUAAAAUAAAUUAUAAAAAAUAUAAACAUGUAAACCAUGAAAGUUUUAUUAAUGAUAAUUAAAUAAAAAAGAUAAUGUUUUUCUAAAAGUAAAAGAUAUAAUUAAGUAUAUGCAAAAUUUUGACCUCAAUUUUCUUUUUAAUUUAUACUAUUUUAUUUAUUUUAUCUUGGAGGUUAUUUUUUCUUGCCAAGAACCAAUGGCUUUUAUUUUUAUAAACACAUCAUGUAAAUACAAUUGAUUUAUAUAAAAUAUAAAAGGAAAAAAAUUAAAUAUAAAUUAUAAUAAUCUGUUUAAAAUAUUACAAAAUAAAUAAAAAUAGAUACUAUUUUAGAUAAAUAAAUAAUUUUAAAAAAUAAGAGAGAAUAAUAAUUAAAAUUUAAAUAAAAUAAUUAAAGAUAAGUUAAAAAUAAAUAAAGGAAAGUAUUAAUUAAAAUUUUAAAAAUUAAACUAGGCCUUUUGAGUUAGAUAGGUUAGGGAAGCGUGUUUGAAUAGCAACCCAAAAGCCUAAGCUUGCAUGGAUGCAUGCAAAAAUAAAAUAAAAUAAAAUUAAGAAGCAACAACAUACCUUCCACUUUAAUUUUAUUUUGUAUAAUAGAUGACAUGUCGUUCAUUAUAACACAUGACCGUUGUCCCUUACAACAUUUUCUAAUCAUCUAUGGUGAUAAAAAAAAAUUGGUUAUGAGUUUUAUGAUCUUAAAAACUCACUGUUAAUCUAUUUUCAUUUAAAAAUACUUUAGAAAUCCUUACAAACCCUUUUUUUUAACCCAAACAAAUAUUUAAUCUCUCUAAAAAGAAUAACAAUUUAAUAAAUAAAAAUACUUUAAAGAACUAGAUCUAUUUUUUAUAUAUAUAUUUUUAAAGGGCAAAACCACAUUCAUUGAACUUUUUUCGAAAAGACAAAGCCAUUAACAUCAAUAUUGCUAUUUUUAGUAGCCUAAAUAUCAACCUCUGAUCACUCUUUUUUUUUAAUAUUUUUCAGCGACUUUCUUUUUUCUCUCACAACUUUUAAGGACUAAAAAAAACUAAAUUUUAAACCAAAAUGUAAAAUACUAAAAUACCAGGAACCAAUAAAUAAAGUAAAAACUAUAGGGAAAUUUAAGUUUUAAGUGCCGAUAACAAGGUGGGGUGUGUUUUUUUUGUUUGUUCAAUUUAAUCAUUCUUCUUUUAAUUUCUAUAUUUAACUAACAAAAUUUUUGUUCAAUUCACCACCAAAAUAUUCAUUUAUACUCUGUAUAUAUGAGAAAAUACAAACUAAAGUUUAAAAUCAUAUUAAUAUUACUUGAAAUGAUGAAAUUGCAAUUAAUAAAUUUUGAUUAUUAAAAAAGAAAAAAAUUAUAAUUAGUUUAUGUGUGCAGAAUAAUGGGAUGGGCAAGCAACCAAAUUAAGGAAAAAAUGGUAGCCGAAUGGCAUGGAUAACAACCAUCACCAAUCCACCACCAUUACUUUCCAAAGAAUUAUAAAAAAUUACAAAUAUAAAAAUAACUUCUAGCAAUAAAAAAUUAAGUGUACUGCAAAUUGGAAAUCUAACAUUAUCUAGAUUUUGUCUCAUGUUUUUCAGGGAGAUUAGGUUUAAUAAUAGAGAAAGGAAGAAUCAUCCAUGUCGAUGUUUUUUUUUUUUAUAUAUAUAUAUAUAUAUAUAUAUAUAUAUAUGUAUGUAUGUAUGUAUUUGUUUUUUGGCACAACAUAGGCUAGUUGAUUAAUUAUAAUCUGGGCCACAGCCAGCCUUUGACGAAAUCCUGGGGAACCAUGAAAAAAAAUCCCAUUAUCCGUGGGUUAAUUAUAAUUGAGGAACCUGGGAAAUCUUUCACAGUUUUUUCUCUUCAGAAACGUGUAGAUAUUGCAAGAAUCAUUAUUUUUGUCUAUCUUUCCUUCUUCUUACACCCUUAAUGUAACUUAAUUUCCUUACUUUUUAAUGAUUAAGAUUCUUACUACAGUGUGUUUGUAAGAAAUAAUUCAAAUUAAUUUUAUAUGUUUGGCAGAAAGAAGAAGAAACCAUCCAAUCUAUGGAUGGAUGGAUGGAUCGGUUCAACAACACCCUAAGGUUGCUGCAACCAUCAAAACUAAAAAGAAGCUGUAUAAAUGAAAUGAUGUUACAAUCUGCUUUUCUUUUCGCGUCCUUCCAAAUAUUUAUUAUUAUUAUUAAAUACUUGGAAUUAAGGACGAAAAGAAAAGUAUUAUUAUUAUUAUUAUUAUUAUUAUUGUUAUUACUCAACUUGUUUUUUUUUAGAAGAAGCGUCUUUGUCAUUCUACGUGUUUAUGAUUUAUCUCUUGUUAUUGGUCUGUUUUUUGCCCUACAAAAACCAAACCCUAAUCCUGAAGAACCGAAAUGUCACGGAUUUCAAAAAUACGCGUAACGUUAGCGACGCAGUAUGCAAUGCAUUAUUAAUUAAUUUAAUUCCCAGCUAUACAUAUAUAUAUAUAUAUCUGCCGCUUUCAAGGGGAAUUCUUCUUACAGUUAUUGGCAGCUACAACUUACAACCUAUCCCCAUAUCCUGAAAUAAAUUACAGGGAGAGAAAAGAAAAAGAAAAAAGAAGCAUCGGCGGAAGUCAAAUCAGAAUUAUAUUUUAGAGGGAGCUAAACUUAAGAUGACAAGUCAGGUAAAAAUAACAAAAUAGUAUCACUUCUGAAUCAUUAUAUUUUGCAGUUCUCUUUAGAAAUAAAUAGUAAUAGUGAUAAAACAAAUAUGAAAGAAAAAACUUUUUGAUAUAAACUAAAAUGCUAGCCUAAAAUAAUUUGAUGAUUUUUAGCUGAAACAAAAGUUAUAAGACUCGUGACCUAGCCUAGGAUGGUGGAUUAAUGAAUUUUUUAAAUUAAAAUAAUGUUAUUUUAUAUUUGUUUUUAAUAAAAAAAAUUAAAAAUUAUUUUUACCCGAAUUAACUCGAAAUUUUAUCAUUAGAUAGGGUUGAUCCCAGGUUAUAAUUAACUAUGGUUGAAACCUUCCAGGAUUACAAAAGCUGUCUAUUAUGAACCUCUAUUUUGUUUUUUUUUCAAGAAUAAAGAAAGUUGGUGCUAUGAAGAAAAAUGUAGCAAGUCUAAAAACUUUUAUAUCUUUUCUUUUAAAUUCGAAACAUUUUUAUGAUUUAAUUUAUACAUUUUUUUUGUUCAAAGGUUUUUAAUAAAUAAGUGAUAUAAAGUGAAAAAAAUAAUAGAGAGUUGGAUUUUCAAUGGCAAGAUGAGUAUAUUGCUUCUAUUUUCUCCUAAAUCGAAAACGUAGGUAGAUGCAGGUUUUUCAUAUACUUGCAUUCAUUAGUUUUCAGAUCUGGCUCGAUUCAAGGUCCAGGUUCCGGGUUUUAACCAGGUUAUAGGAGCGUUCGGGUCAAUUUUUUUUUUUAAUCAAAACGACAUCGUUUUAGUAAAAAAAAGACAAAAGUCAACGGAUUGCAACCGAGUUUUUGACUGGGUCUUGUCGGGUCAACCUGGUAAUACCGGUUUUUCCUUCAUCUAUUUUUUCUUCAACUCGGCUCGGUUUUAAUCUCGGGUCGGCCGAUUCUCGGUCGACCCGUCAGGUCGGACCGGAUUUCAAAACUAUGAUUUUUAUAACCAUCAUCCAAAUGAAUAGGAUGAAAUGAAGUAUAUCUUCCAUUCAUCACGUGUGUACCUGUCUUGAUCAUGAAUUCUUUUCUUUUUCUCUUUUAAAUAAUUUUAUUUUUUAAAAUUAUAUUUAAAAUUUUAAUACUAAAUAUAAGUUAUUAUUACCUAUUUUUGGGUCUUCACAUAAACAAAAAAAUCAGAAAAAAAAACAAUACAAAAAUUAAAAAAAAAUUGAAAAAAAAAAUAAAAAGAUAUAUUAGUGAGAAGAAUAUACCAGAAAACUUAGGAAAUUACCGAAGACUGAUUGAUGAAAAUUAAAAUAUAUAAGAUUGAAAGAAUUGAUAGUGUAUUUUCCAUUGAUGAAAGUUCUAUUGAUAAAGAAAAUUUAUUUUAAGGAGAAAAAUUUGAAAUAAAAUGUUUAAUGACUCAAUUGGAAUUCUUCAAUGUUUAAUUGAAUUUAUUAAUGGUUUAAUUACAAGAAAAAAUAAUUUUUAAAGUCAAUUUAAAUUUUAAUUAGAAGAAAUUAAAGUAUUUUAAAAGAAUUACAUCAAUAAUUGUCUAGUUUAUAUCGUGUAUAAAUUUAUUUAUUUUGAUAAAAAUCGAUGUAUUAUUAAAGUUCCUGUUCCAUUAAGUAAAUGACAAUGUGAAAAAAAUGAAGAGUUUCAGAGAAUAUAAACCAAAAUAAAUCUAAAGAGAAAUUAACAACAAGAAAACCAAAAGAAAAAUAGUUUAAGGCAUUAAAUCUGAACCUGUAUAGAAGAAUCUACUAUUGAAGUUUCUCAACCAUGAUACCAAACGAUGAGGAAUAAACUCACAAACAUCAUUCCAAUCUGGUUCCUCCAUAGUGAAGAUCAACAUGUUUCUAGCUAGCAACCCAGAAGAUAUCAUAACAUAAAAGAAGAAAUGCAUUCUUUUCAAAUUUACUGGUUGCAAGAUGUUUCCAUUCCAAUAAUACAUGUUCAUCUGUUGUAGAAUGCACCAAGUCAUUCCUAACCAGUCAAUGAAUCUACUUCACAAUCUCCACAAGUAGUGACAGAGUAAGAAAAAGUGCUAAAUAGAUUCAAAAGUAACUGCACACAGAGGGCAAAGUGCUUGUGCAUCACUGAUCAUAUCAUGUCUCCUAACAAGAAAGCCUCUAAUGCAUAAGCUGUUAUUAAGGAGAAGUCAAAUAAACAUAUCAACUUUUGGGGGUGUCAGUCCUUUCCAUAAUAAAGUAGAAAAUCAAGAAACUCCAGGAUAUUGAAUCUGAUCAAUGUUGUGACGGGCUAACUUAACAGUACUAUAGUUACCAUCCUUUUCAUAAGCCUAUUGUCGUGUAUCAACUGAAUCCGAAAGGGUCAAAUUAUGCUCCAUAAUCAACCUCAAAGAUUGCGUAGCAUCAAAUUCUACUGGACGCAAAAUCCUCCUCAAAGUUAAAACUCAAAUUCACAGUAGUACUAUUUAGAACACAUACAUCUACAAUAACAACAUCUUGUUGAAUAGAAAGACUAUAUAAUAUAUAAUCUAGGAAAUAAAUCUUGCAAAGAUUGUCCUUGUACCCAGCAAUCAGUCCAGAAUCUAGUUCUCUUUCCAUUCCCAACCUUAAUACAACAUCUCUUCUUAAAGGUCUCUGAAAUUGGAUCGUUAUUUUUGACAGCUGAAAAUAUGCCAUUCGAGAUUGGAGGCAGUGAACAAUAAAAAACAUGAAGACCAUUGUGAAUUGUAGGCCUUUACCCGUGUAAGAUAAAUUGUUUUCAUCUCCCCGAAUCAUCCUCACCAAGCCUCCAAGUCCACUUGAAAAAUAGUGCCUAUGUAUUGAGGUAAGAACCCGAAGGAUACCUUAUUUGGAAGUAGGAAGAUAGACAUAUAAUAAAAUUGUAAGAAGAUUAAGACUGAUUUUAUGAGACAUAAACGACCAGCCAGACUCAAAAGUUUACCUUUCUACUUUGCCAAACUUGCUCUGAUCUUAGUAAGAACCGGCUUCCAAGUUGAAUUUUUUACUUGGAUUAGCCCGUAAUGGUAAACCAAGAUAUUUACAGGGAAAAGAGACACUACGAAUAGUCAAAAUAUAUAGUCUCAUAAGACUAUAUAAGUCAAAAGCUGUAUGGAAAUCAAUUUUGAAUAAGAAUCCAUGGCCUCCCCUUCUUCUAAGUCCACGAACCACUUCAUUUCCUAUCAGAAAGCCAUUAAGAAUUUGUCUUACUGUCACUGAUUAUUCCCGGCAAAACCACUUAAAAGCCGAGAGGAUAGCAACUUUGCCACAAUUUUAUAGAGUCCAUGAAUGAGGCUAAGUGGUCGGUAUUUUGAAAAUUCAUUGGGGGAGUGCUUUCUCGGAAUUAGUGCAGCAAUACUUAAUUGAUGGUGAGAUAUUACGUAUAAUACAAAAGAGCAUAACAUAUUAUAUUCUUAAUCAAUAAUUAUUUAUCAUUAUUACCAUAUUCAUAGUUAUAAAUUAAAUUUCAACUACAGAGAAAAGUUAUAAACUUAAAUCUAUUUUUAUAGGGUUCGCAAUAAAACAUUAUAAUAAUAAUAGUUAAACCUAUUAAAAGAUUAAAGAAAUAUUUUUUGUUUAUUUCUAAAUUAAAAUUUAAUGUUCCAAAGUUCAUAUAUAGAUAUUUGCCCUCGGAAUCUCACAAAUUUCUGAGCCGUCAUCUCAUACACAAACCAUAUAUUUUUUUUUUAAAUUUUACUUGUCAUGCAUUUGCUUUGUGACAGAAAUUAGUAAACGAACCACACAUCAAAGUUCAUCCACAUAAAUCCCUGGGUUUGACACAAUAUAAAUAGCUCCAAAUUGCUGGAUGCCUGCCCUGUUUUGGACACACAUACACACAAUUCAACCGAACAGUGUCAGUGUAGCCAAUCUUGACUAGGAAUACAAUUGACACCAACCAAAAAAAGUGACCAUUCCUUUUCAUUUCCCAUCAUGUUAAGUACAAGUCCAAAUCAAAUAGGCCUGAAAAUCAGUAUAAUUCCAAGCCCAACUCUAUCCGCCAACCCAAAUUCCUUUUCUAACCAAUUCUAAUAAUUCAACUUUUUUUUUCCUUGGCAAUACUCCCCCCCUCCCCACUCCAUAAUAAAUAGUUUAAAAUUUGUCCCCUUUAUAUAUAUAUUGGAUAUGUUUUCUUGUUUCCAUUGAUGUUCAUCUAUUGGUUCCAAUGGUGUUAUUUGUUGGAACUUGGAGUGGAUUUUUUAAUACAUUAAAAUAAUAAAAAAAGAGAGUAAAAUAUCACAAUCUAAAUAAAAAAAUAAUAUAUUUUAUUGAGUCGCAAACGGUCAUAUGUCUCACAUACACUUUUUAAUUCUUAGAUGACAUCGCUUAAAUUACAAAAAAAAGAUACAUCAAAGUUCUGAUAAUAACAUUAUUAAUACUAUAAAAAAAUCAUUAUUAAUAAUUAAAUUGUGCUACUUUUUAAAAUAAUUUUUGAAUUGUAUUUUUUUCUGCAUGCUAAAAAAAACCCUCCCUUUGAUUGCAUUAAUUUCACAAACAAAUGCAAAUUUUGUAGGAGUCGUAUCAUUUGACAGUUGAAUCGGCUUUGUGAGCUGCUCCAACACUGCAUCAUAGGUCUGAUCACCCGAAUACUGUUUGGAAAUAAAGUACAAUCCAUGUUUUUAAAAUUUUAAUUUAAUAACUUUUAAUGUUUUUGGAUUAUUAUGAUAUAUUAAUAUUAAAAAUAAAAAAAAUAUUAUUUUAAUAUAUUUUUAAAUAAAAAAUAUUUUAAAAAACAAUCUCAACCCUCUCUAAACACAAUUUCACACCAACGCAGACAGGAGACAACGAAGACCUUGGUGCAGGCUUGCAGCAUCAUCUUUUCCCUCAUUAUGAAGGUAAAGCCCAUGCCUAAUCGUGGAUCCAUAUUCAUUACAGGCCCAAUAAUCUUAAUCCCCAACUCCAUAUUGUUAACUUUAAGCAACUAUGAAACCGUGAAGGUCCAAUUUCUUGCAAAGACCAAGAGAAAUCUGAAGCCUUCUUUUUUAGCCUAGGUCUACAGUAAAUGACACUGUUACGUUGUUACAGGGGCUAAAGCUCCUCCUCAACAGCCAGCCAGCCAAAACAUGGAUAUAAGCCUCCUAAAAUUGAAAGGUGACUUGAGCUUGGGCAACAAGGCAAAAUAAAAUUUGAAAAUUAAGAAGAGAGAAAUAUGCUCCAGGUUUGCUUGGCUAGGAAUCCAAAUGGCUUUUUUAAGCUCAACAAGAAAAGAAUCGAUUCUUCAAAAACCCAUUCCCCCAAUAGAAUAAUAAGAAGAAAAAAAUCAUGCCCAUUUCCCGCUAUCUUUUCUUUUCCACCAAACAACGCCCAGGACAGUGUCUCAAUCUACUCCGAAGGUCCUCUCUCUUAAACCCUUUAAACCCCUUUUUAUUAUUUUCUUUUUUUCUCUAGUUGAUCGAGAAGGGUUUGUGUGUGUGUAGCAGUUACUCUAGUUUUUAUGUUUCUUUUCAUAUUUAAGUACGUGUGUGAUUUCUUGGUAAGGGUUUAGGGUUUAUUUUUCACAGAAUGCAUUUUAGUUUAUAUAUUGCUUGAAUCGAAGUCCGUGGAGUUCAUUUUGCUGUUUUUUCAUACAUAUAUUAAAAAUUGUUGGGUUAUCUCUUGCUGCAAUUUAAUUGAGCAUUAUUUAGUGAAUGUCUGUUCUUUACAUUUAUAGGCUGAAUUUAAACACAAUUAUUGGUGAAGUUUGUAAUGUUUUUUAUUUUCUCUGUUUUUUGGGGCAUUUUGAGUAUAUGUUGAAUCAUGUGUGAUUGGUGUAGGCUUGGUCCAUCAAAGAGGGUUCAAUCUAGCUGUUUUUCCAAAUCAACAAACCAAAAUCACUGGAAGCGUCCUGUACCGCAAGUAAAAGUAGAACUGAAGGCUCCUCGUUUCCUUGUCAUUGUAUGCUGCUUAGCCUCUUCAUUAUCACCAAUUGAUAUGUAUUGGUUCUCGAUUGAAUGUGCCAUUUUAAAAUAUGGUAGAUUUUGAUUGUUUGGUGUUGGUUUUGAUUUAAAAGGAGGAUUCUGCAUUUGAAACUAAAAAUGUUGUUAAAAUGUGUAAUUUUGCAGCCAGCUGCUGUACUAGGAUUUGUUGGAUUGGCAGCUUUUGUGCAUUAUAAUGACGAGAGGAGAGCGGUUCCAAAAGGUACUUUUUAUGCUUUAUUAUUAUCAAAUGACUGUUUACAAUGGGUCUGAAAUUUUAUUCGAGAGUGAAUAUUGGCACUUCCAUCAUUUGUGGUGAUUUCGUUUUGGUUUCUUAGAUUGAGAGAUUGAAUUUCUGGUUCUUUGUCCUGCUUGACAAAGUGGAAAAUUCCGAGACCAUUGAUGAUUAUUACGAGUUAAACCUGGAUAGUAAUUACUUUGUAGUUUAGUUAACAUUUCCUUGUUCAGCAGUAGCUCAUUUCAGUGGUUUGAGGUGGUCUUUUUGGUAACAUGUGCAGUUAUAUGAUAUUUGCUGAACUUUCUUCGUUAUUUAACUUGAGUAUAAUUAUCUGGACUUGAACCAUCUGCCAGCCUAUAAACUCAUGCCUUUUUGUUAUCAAGAUGCCUAUUGAAUCUUAAGAAAGAUAGAGUGACUACCCUACCACUAACAUGGUAAAAUGUUGGAUCUUUUUUGUUUUCCCUUUUUUGAGGUUUGAACAUUGUACUUUGGCAGUAUUAAAUCAACUAAUCAAUUUUGAAUCCAUAUUGUUCUUGAUUCUAUUGUUUUCACUGAGCUCUUAAGAAACUUGAACAUGAAACAAGUAUAGCACUCCACCAAAUUGCAUUUCACCUGACAUUUAUUAAAGAAAUAAUCAAAAGAAAGAAGUAUGGUAUUCAUUUUGAGCUACUGAUAAACUAAACAAGUAGUUACUUAUCAUGGUUUUUUGGGUUAAUAAUGAUGAACCCAAAACUGAUCACAACACACAAAUGAGAUGCAAGACCCACUAAGAUCAUCCAUAAGUAAAGAAAUGCACCUAGUGGUGGCCCAGAGAAAAGGGGUCUCUAGCAAGGCAGUCUAUGCAGCAAUCCCCUUCUCUAUAUUUGUGAGUCAUCAUCACUGUCCAGUUUUGAUCCAAUCAUGUCUUUUAGUGCACAGAACAGCACAUUUGUUGGAUUAAUGUUCUGAUAAGUGCAUCCAGCAGCACUAGCAAAUGUCUUCCAGAAUGACCUUUCUUAACCUUAUAUCCUCCAAAACCGAGAUUCUUAUUAAUGCUCCCCAUAACUCCAUGUUCUUCGAGGUUCAUAAUGAAACCACCCAACUUUGUCCUGAAAGGUGCUUUGAAGUAGCUAACUUGCCAGUGGCAGAGCUGUCGCUUUGCCUCCAAGGGGGACUGGAACAAAUUGAUUAUAAAAUUAUAUUUUCCUAAAAUUGAAUAGAUGAAUUAAAGUUCUAGUUGCUUUGUGCACGAACAAUCAAUAUCAGAUGGGUGGGUAUCUUUUUUUUUUCUUUCCAAAGCACAAAAACUGUGUUGCUGUAUGUUACUGAUAGUUGCAAUGGCAAAUACAUGAUUGUCUCGGGGCAUGUCAGUUUUGCAGCCUUGAAUGAUACAAAAGCAUCAAGCUAGUCUUUUAAUUGGACAAAAGCAUACUUGUAUAUUUUGGGCUUGUGGUGGGCAUUUGACUUUGGCCAAAACCUACUGUAUAUUUUGGUCUUGUGACUUGAGAAAAGAUAUUGUUAAUGCCAUAGGAUUGGUUGGUUUUAUCCCUGUUCAGGAAUGAGCUCCUAAAACCUGUGUUUUAGGCUUUCUGAUUUGUGUGACUCAAAAUGUUGCACUGUGGGAUAGCCUUACUCCUAUUGUCUGGUUGGCUUCAUCUUGGAAUGGAACGUGCCUAGGAUGGAAUACCGAACAUGCACUUUGUGGUCUCUGUGACUGGAGAUUUGACUACUGUAUGGUGGUCAUGUAACUGCUGUGAGGCAGAAGGAAAUUCCCCGUUGCCUUAAAUACAACUUUUAAUGGGCUUUGGGUGAUGAUCAUUUUUACUGAACACUUAGCUCAUGCUUCUGGAAGAUUAAGAUGGAGCUUGAUUAGCUUCUUCCUGAAAAGAAAUGAAGAACGUAAGCCAAGUGGUCGUGAUGUCAGAUGCAGAGCAGCUUGUCGAGGGCUUCCUUUUAACCUUGUUCUCCCUCUUCUCUAAUUGUAUUUCUUUUCUUGUAUACUGAUCAGGUCAAGGCAGUGAUUGCGUCAAUGUCAAGGGUCCGAUUAUUGGUGGUCCAUUCACCCUAGUUAACACAGAGAAUAAAGUAGUUACGGAGAAAGAUUUUCUAGGAAAUUGGGUUUUGCUGUACUUUGGCUAUACAUCCUCCCCUGAUAUUGGACCUGAGCAACUGAAAUUGAUCACCAAGGCCUUAAACACAUUAGGUAUGAUGCAUUAGUCAGCAUAACCUUUUCUCUCUCUCUCUCUCUUUUUAUUUGGGGGGGGAUGAGUGGUUAUAAAUCUGACAUCUGUAUUUAUAUGGAUGUAGAGUCUAAAGAGAAUCUUAAGGUUUUGCCAAUGUUUGUUACACUUGAUCCUCAGCGUGACAACCCCCCACAUCUUCGUGCUUACCUUGAAGGUUAGGAAUGCGCACGCUACUGCACAUGCUUCAGAUUAUUCCUUAUUCCUUAAUUGCCUUGUAAUAAUUGGCUGUGGUAACAUAUGUUAAUGAGCUCUGAACGACUGCAGAGUUUGAAUCAAGAAUAGUAGGAUUAACAGGACCUGUUGGUGCUAUAAGACAGAUGGCACAAGAGUACCGUGUUUAUUUCAGGAAAGUUGAAGAAGAAGGAGAUGAUUAUCUUGUCGAGACUUCUCAUAACAUGUAAACCCCGAGCUCCUCUGCUGCUUUCUUUUCUUCUGAUUUUUAAGUUUCUUUUUUUGGCUAGAACUCAAAAGUGGAUUGUGUAUCUUAAAAACAUGCAGGUAUUUGAUAAAUCCAAACAUGGAGGUUGUAAAAUGCUUCGGUGUCGAAUAUAACGCAGAGGAGCUUUCAGAAGCAAUAGGAAAAGAAUUGAAGAGAACCUCAUCAUAAUGGUUUUGAAAUCUCUGAUGUGCUCCUAGUCUUCUGGGAAUUUUAUAAUUUUGGAAGGUGUCUAACUAACAUUCUUGAUUUCUUUUUUCUUUCUUUUUAACAAAGAUUUUGUCUAGUUGUUGCAUGGGCUUGAACCCUUGACCUUAACUUCAGAAUGAAGGUUUUAAGAGGUCAGUAGGUUCUCGAUCCCAUCUUACAUCUUGCUAUAAUGAUAUUUCAGACACCUUCCUCCAACCCAGGAUCUUCUUUUGACUUGGUAUUUUAAUUUUGGUCUGUCAUAGCGGUAUAACUGAAGAUAGAAAAAGAAAAGGAAAACGUAAAAUUGGGCCUGCUCCUUUAUAUUCUAUAUAGGUGGUCAAUUUCUUUGUCCUACAAGAACACUUGUACAAGGGAGGAACUUCUAUUUUACUGCUGGAAGGUUUGUUUAUAAAAUCCAGCUUUCUUCAUACGUGCGAUGCUCAAGGCCAAUGUGCCAACGUGCCCUCCUCUAUUCCUCUUUCCCAUGUUUCUAAUUUAUUUAUAUUUUUUGUGACUGGUUAUAUAAAUCACUAUCAUAAGCAUAUCACAAAUCUGAUAGAUGGUUCAAUUCAGCUUGAUUAAGUCAUUAUGUCUAGAAAUAGUGUUAUUUAAUUGGUUAUUAUGUUCCUAGAGGUGUUUAGGAUAGUGAUAACGAUUGUUUUUAAUAGUGUUUUUUUUUUAAAAUAAUAUUUUUUUAUUUUUUAAAAUUUAUUUUUAAUAUAAGCAUUUUAAAAUGCUCAAAAACAUAAAAAAAUAAUUUUUUUUUUUAAAAAUUAAGAUUUCACUAAACUCCAACUUCACCAUUCUCCCGACCAGGCACUUCUGAGCCUUACACCAAAGACAUGGUGCAUUUAUGUGGAGUGGGGCAAAUUACAGCAAGUUUUACACUCGUUACAGGAAUUUGCAAUUAUUUUCGAGUAAAUCAAGGCAACGUUUUUCAAGUCCCUAUCACCGAUUAUCAAUAACCCUUCAACGACUGACACUUUUGGUUUUACACCUAAGACAAUGGAGGACUAGCCUAGGCACAAAUAACAAUAACGUCAAGUUGUGUUGAUUUUUGAAAGAGCAACUUCUGCAAUGUGCCCAAGCUUGCUUAUUGGCCUGUGGUACCUGGAUGCAAUGCUCUUGGAGAGGUCGAUGAAUCCACCUAGACAAAACCAUGUCGGCAAUGGCUUAGUGAGAUUCUCAGAGCUUGGCAGCCUAGCUAGAUCACCAUUCAUGAGGUUCUAACAUCGUACUAUUAAUUUGGUAAUACGAGUUCCUUCUUCUAUUUUUUUCGUUUGUCGAUUUACGUGUGAUAACUACAUGAGAGAAGAGAAGUUCCCAUGCCAAAAUGUAGGGGAAAGAUAGGGGGGAAACUCCUUUUUUUAGCAAAAAAUCUAGAGAUCUACAUCUUACAAAAGACCGGGUCUCUUGGUUCCCUUUUUCCCACCACAUAAGAAACACAAAACAAAAGAGAACAGAAAAAAUUAACCAAUCAAGAACAACUUUCCACUUUUAAAUUUUAAUAAGAGUAAACCAACUGUAAAUUAGUGUGCUCUCUCUUUGUUAAAUCUUGCAAUCCCCCCCCCCCCCCACAUUCAUCAUGCCAUUUCAUGUCUUGUCUCAAACAGAAAGAGAGAGAAAACAAAGAGAUUCUAUGUCCUAGCGGUCACUUAAGGAGACCUAGCAAUCCAUCUCCAGCUAGCCUAUUUUCAAACCCCACGUUCAUUUUCUUCUCUAUUUCCUCCCAUUUUCCCUAGCUUCAUGCAGGAUUUAAUCUUCCUGCCUGCCAAAGUCCGUGGUAAAUAUCUUUAUGCAGAUUUAAUCCAUGCCCAAUGUCACUUCAUCAAUAAUGUUUCAUUAGUUAGAUAGCCACCGAUGCUGUGUGUCUUUGUUGGUUUGAAAAUGUGGCAUUCUUCUCUACCAUAAAAAGCUGCAUUGUCUUUAAGACCCGAGGAGAAAAGCGCUCAAAGGUCAGAACAAAAUAUGGGAGACAUAUCGCCCGAAAAGAAACCUGCAGGUUGUGGCCUAUUCUCUGUAGUUUUCGGCCGAAGAAGUUUUUGGCCAAGAAGAUCAACAUCUACAGGUUCAAUUCCUACAGUGAAUGCAGCCAAUUUCACCAGAACUCCUAGCACGCCAAGGAGGCGAAGGAGUGGCUCGGAUGAGGCUGCAUUUCUAGACAAUUCGCCUAGUGUAGCAGAAGGGCAGCAAAAAUCUAUCACAAAGGCUCCUAUGCAUCCCAAGAUCCCCCCUGCACAGAACCAAAACUACGGUAAAAAACUUCCCGAGGAAGCAACCAAAAUAUCUUCUAAUCAAGGCUAUGCUAAUCAAAAUCAAGGUUAUAGUAAUCAAAAUGCAUUUGUUAAUCAAGGUAGGAGGGUUCCUAAGGAGGCAGUUGGUAUUUCCGGUGAGCUCGAAAGCAUGAUCACUGAUCACCAAAAAUCUAAAGGAAGCAGCACGCUUGUCCGUGCUUCAUCAAGCAAUGUGAUGCUUUUUGGCAAUUUAGGUAACUUGAGGCAAGGAGGAGGUGGAGGAAAUACAACUUCUCAUAGUGUUCUUGAUUACCUUCCUAAGACCGCAAGAGAAGAGGUUGUUUCACCUAAUGGAAAAUACCCUAAUAGUGUAAUGGGAAAUGUAGUGAAGAAACAGAAUGAAGAGAAACCAAACGUAGGUGCGCAGCCUGCUUCAGGUUCUUUAUGCCGGGCUCUGUCUACUAGAAUGGACCCUGAGCAACUUAAAAUGAUGGGUAAUGAAGAUUACAAGAAUGGGAAUUUCGCAGAGGCAUUGGCUUUGUAUAAUGCAGCAAUCUCGAUUGAUCCUAACAAGGCUUCUUAUCGGAGCAACAGAAGCGCAGCAUUAACAGCUCUUGGUAAAAUUCUCGAGGCAGUUUUCGAGUGCAGAGAAGCCAUUCGAAUUGAACCCCAUUACCAUAGAGCUCAUCAUCGUUUAGCAAACUUGUAUCUCAGGUAUAAAAAUUACCAUUAAUUGCCAACAGACUCUAGUACAAUUUCGUUCCAUGAUAAUUUAAUAUUGUGUUUCUUCUUUUCCUUGGUGAAAUUCUUAUGUGUUAAUAGAUUAGGUGAGGCAGAAAAGGCUAUAUAUCACUACAAACAUGCAGGGCCAGAAGCUGACCAUGUUGACAUUUCAAAAGCUAAAGCUCUUCAAGCCCAUCUCAACAAGUGCACCGAAGCUCGUAAACAUCGAGAUUGGAACACCUUGAUCAAGGAGACAGCGGCUACCAUAUCUGCCGGCGCAGAUUCAGCACCGCAAGUAAGCCGCCUAGUUAUCAUUCAUCACAUUUUAACCCCUGUAUGUUAAAUAUUGCCAUGCUAUGCUAAACUAGUUUUGUGUCUAAUUUAGAUAUUUGCAUUGCAAGCUGAGGCCUUGAUAAAGCUUCAUAGGCACCAAGAAGCAGAGGAAGCAUCGAUGAAGUGUCCAAAUUUUGAUGUGGAUGCCUGCACUAAAUUUUUCGGUCCACUCGGUAAUGCAAAUUUGUUAGUGGUGCGAGCUCAGGUUCACAUGGCUCUUGGCAGGUUAGUGUUCUGUACUAAAUGGUCACGCAUUAUUAGAAUUGCGUUAGAGGCCACAAUUUGCAUGAUUGCAUAGGUUCAUAAAUAAAAGAAAGACAUGACUGUAACCUGGUGUUGUGGAACAACUCAAAAGGCAUAUUUUUGCUGGUAAAAAGGGGGACCAAAGAUAUACGAAGUCAAGAAAAAAUUCGACUACUUACCCACCACCAGCCACCAACUUGCUCAAAUAUUCCCUGAUUACUGUCUGGGUUAAAUACUUUGAUUUUGCACCUAAGCUUUAUGGUAAAAGCAGGAUCGUUUUUUAAAACAAAAGACAUGUCUCUAAGCUCUACCCUAUCACCUAAUCCUGUGUCUGGUACUUCUCACCAUAAUUAGGUGGUAAAAACGGCUCUUCUAUGAAAUACUUUAUCUUCUUAUAGUUCCUUUUUCGGAGAAUCUUCUUUAUAUUUCUAUUGCUGACUGGGUUUACAUUUCUCUCAAAUAAACCAUCUUACUCUAAAAUUCUAAAAUAUAAAUUAUAUUAUAUCUAACAUAUUUUUUCAAGUAAAAACUCUUUAAAUUUAAAAUUUAUAUAAACUCAUAUUAGUUUAUAUUUAAUUUUUAUCAAAUAAAUAGGGAUAAAACUUACACGGAUCCAUACUAGUUUAUGCUUAAUUUUUAUCAAAUAAAUAAAUAUGGUAAAAUUCAAACCUGUAACCGCUUAGUCAUCAAGGCUAUGAUACCAUGUCAAAAAACUAAUUUAACCCAAAAGUUUAAACUGUUAGGUGAGGUUCCAAGAUAUGAUUUAUAUUAUUCUCUAAUACAUUCUCUCAAGUGAAAGCUCUUUGAGUUUGAAAUUUUUACAGGUCUACACUACCUUGUGCUUAAUCUUUAUCAAAUAAAUAGGGAUGAUGAGAUUCGAACUCGUGACUGUUUGGUCAUUAAGGCUCUGAUAAUCAAAAAAAUCAAUUUAAUCUAAAAACUUAAAGUGUUAAAUGAGAUUUCAAUAUAUAAUUUAUAUUAUUCUCUUAUGUUUAGCCAAACUGUAAUUUAAGUAUAAUUGAAUCUAUCUAAUUGAAAUACUUAAUGUUAGCUUUUUUAUUUUUUUAAAAAAUAAAUCUUAUAACAUAACAAGUAGCUAUCGAUUUUAUUCAGUCCAAAACAAUUGAAAGAACGCACAGGUUAAUUGUCCUUAGUGUUUAUUGGGCUAAUAAAGCUUUUAACCAACGGAUUAACAGAUUUGAUGAUGCUUUGGCUGCGGUGCAACGAGCAACUAGGCUCGAUUCAAACAACAAGGAAGCAAAUAUGGUGUUGAGAAAGGCUAAAGCUGUAGCUGCAGCUAGAUCAAAGGGUAAUCAGCUUUUUAAGGCAGCAAGAUUUUAUGAGGCUUGUAAUACUUAUAGUGAGGGACUUGAGCAUGAUCCCUACAACUCAGUGUUGUUAUGCAAUCGAGCUGCCUGCCGGUCCAAGCUUGGCCAGUAUGAGAAAGCGGUAGAGGAUUGCAAUGCUGCUCUUACCGUCCGACCAGGUUACUCCAAGGCCAGAUUAAGAAGAGCUGAUUGCAAUGCUAAGGUGACUAAAUUGAACAGAGAAAUAAUUUAGUUUAUACAGCGUGUUUCGUCAUCAUUUUAACAGCUUUUAUCUUCUAUAGCAACUUAGAUAUAGUCGGAUUUGGUUUGCUAGUGACUAAUGUUUGUUUCACUGAAAUAGUUGGAAAAAUGGGAAGUCUCAGUCAAAGACUAUGAGAUGUUGCAAAAUGAAGCCCCGGGGGAUGACGAAGUGAGCAGGGCCUUGAUGGAGGCCAAGUCAGAGCUCAAGAAGCAGAGAGGACCAGAUGCGGCAGCUUAAUAUAAAGCUAGAGAACAAGUAGUGAAAUGGUAGAAAGAAAUCGCUAGAGCAGCUACCUGCAGAGCCAAUGAGGCCAAGAACAAAAAACGAGAUUACUUAUGCCUAGUGUUGAUGCUGAGGCAAGAGAUUGGGCACACUAGAUUGAAAUUAGAGAAAGAAAAUGCUUUAAUUUAGGGAAGAAAAUUGAUCCGACCGGGCAUCAUGUUUCAGAAUAUGCUGUAAAGGACUUCGUUUUUAUGUAUAGCUGGACACUUGUGUGAAAUUUUGUUGAAACACCGCCUGAAACCCGUCCGAUUACUGACUUUUUUCUGGCCUAUAAGACCCAUUAAUAUCCUAUCUAUGAGCAUUAAUGAACACCACCACGAGUUGACUACUCAUUAGAUCCAAUCUGACCGACAAAGGAACUCAAUAAAACACUCCACUUUCUUAGCAUCUACUAAUUGCUGCCCCUUUGAGCAAUAUAGCCAACAACAAACACAAUGCCAAAUCUAUCACGAAGAUCAUCUUCAUGACCAAUCACAACGAUUCAAGUUUUAUUAGCAUUAUAAAUCCUCCUGUGAUCAAAAUGACAACUUUCAUACAUACAUAUGAAGCCAUGAUCAUCUAAGAACCUAUAACGAUAAGCAAAGUCAAGACAUGUUCUUGAAAAACCAAGCACAUGAACAACUGUCCAAGUUAUUUUCCUCAUCAAAAGAUGAUGGUCAAAGAUCGUCAAAGCGUGAUCCGACACAACCCAACACCACACACAAAUUAACCUUAUGAAAAAAAAAAGGUCUCUCACAUGAAUGAAGCUCCGGCAGAUUUCUUAACAUCAGGAUAAUCACAAUAAUUCCUAAUAGCAGUUAACUCAUAAGGCGAAGUAUCAAGAGCCAGCCACUGCUCAAUGGUGAACUGCUUUUGUGAACAAGCCGCAUGGACCCCAGUUGUAGUCACCUCCACGUAGUUAACGUACCAACCAUGGCCUGAACCUGACCCAUCAGAUGUCAAGUUCAAUGCACACACUGGUGAACUCAAACAUGGUGCUCUUCCACUAAAAAUGUCCAAAUUGCCCCUCUCGAAGUAGUUGUGACCUGGCUCCAUUAGCCCUCCCCAUCUCUCAAGAUCUGGGACCUCCAAGCCCUUACCAUAAGAGUCGUACAGUCUAACGCUUAUGAUGGAGUCCGUGCCUCCUUUGAUGAUGGAUCCUGUUCUUAUGUACACUGUGUAUACACAGUCUUCAUCCUGCAAGAGAUCAAGAAAAAAAGAAAAAAAACGAAUGUAACUAAGGAUUGGUUUUAACAAUGACCAAAAGAUGAGAAAGGAUUUCGAGAAAGUUUCAGAGGGCAACUUACAGAAAAUGCUAUGGUGGCGAGGGAGAGGAAGAGGAAGGGGAUGAGAGAGAGGUGGAGAGUGGUGACAGACAUUAUUUUCUUUGUUUUCUUCUUUAGCCGUAGAAAUGUGAAAGGCCUGCUUAGUUGAAAGUGGAUUUAUAGGGAAGAGGACUUGUAAGCAUGGGAUGAGUGUGUAAUAGCGACUUGUUUGGUUGUGUAUAAUUAAUCUUGCAUUGCAUAAAAAUAAUAUAAUUAUAAAAAUCUCUUAUAAAAUUACACUUUAUAUUGAAGUUUAAUAUUCAUAACAAUUUAGAUUCUUAAACCAUAAAAAAAAUCAAUAAAAAUAUUCAAUAUUCUAAAAUUUAAUAUAUUCAUAACAAUUUACAUCAUAAAAAAAAUCAAUAAAAAAUAUAUAAUUAUAUAUUAUAUUAUUAUUCUAUUUUAUUUAAUAUCUAAAAAAAAUUUACAUUAAAUUUUACAAUUUUAUUAUUAAAUUAAAAAACAAAACCACUAAUCCAAACUCAAACAAAAUCUCAACCAUCACCAUAUUUAUAAAACCAGUUUUAAUUUUUAAUUUUUUAUUAUAUUUGUCAAAAAUCAAUAUUAUUAUUUUUUAAAAAAAUCCAAAUAAAGAUAUCUCACACUCCUCCUCAAAACUUGAAAAAAGGAGCAAAAACAAUUAGUUUUGAAGGGUAGAUUUUUAGGUUAGGAUGAUGGCUAUUAUUUGAUUCGUAAUAUGGGAGAGAUAUAGUGGGUGUUGGCAGAUAUCGAGAUAUGAAGAAAGCUCAUUAUUUUCAUUAUUAUUCGAAGUGUUAUAUAACACAAGUCUGUUAUGGAGAUAACAGAAGAUGAGAUCCUAUCCUAAAGAUUAAUAUAGGACUCAUAUAUACUGUCAUAACCUAUUUUUGAGUUAUUCCCCAAAUUCAUUUUCAAAAAUCAAAAAAUAUAUUCAUACAAAAAAAUCUUUAAAAAAUAAUAACAGUGAGAAGAGGAUGCUGAAACGCCCAAAAAAUAGCUAGAAAUUGGUUGAGGAGGUUCAAAAAUACAAAGAUUGAAAUUUGACACUAUAUUUUUGACAAAUGAAGAGCUUUGUUAACAAAGAAAACUUAAUUUGAAGAAAAAUAUUCAAAAUCAAAUGUUUAUGAAUCCAAUUAAAUUUUAUCGAAGGUUUAAUUGAAUUUAUGGAUGGUUUGAUUGCAAGAAAACUUGAUUUUUAAGUCAAUUUGGGCUUUAAUUGGAAGAAAUUAAAGUUCUGGGGUCAAAUUAGAAUUUUUGAGAGUUGUUUUGGUCAAAUCAAGAGCUUAAUUGCAUAAAUAUUGAAAUUUAAUGGCUAAUUGGGGACUUGAUUAAAUAAAUUCAAAACCAAGGACCAAACUAGAAACAUACGCUGAAAUCUAGGGUUUGAAUUGAAGUUCGUCAGGGGUGAAAUUCAACAAAAUCGAAAGUUUGAGGCCAAUUAGGGGUGUAAUUAGAGAUAAAUCACAAAUUAAAAGAGUAAAGAGUAAUUGACAAAAAAAUACUAUUCAUCUUCUUCUUCAGAGGGCCAGCCAGAGGGGCCGUUUGACACCUUGUUUUUUCUCCAAAUUAGAUGAAACUUGCACGAAAACGAUCUCCUAACACCUGACUACAUGCUAGUGCAAACCGUUUGGGCUGAUCGAGGCUUCAGAGGUGGUGACACCGCCCCAAAGAAGCCAACCCGACCAACCAUUUUCCUGCACAAAACUGAUAGUUCAUCAUUGCUACUUUGAACUAAUGGUUGGGAUGCUUUCGGGUCGAUCCAAGGGCCGAGAUUUGGCACCAUAAAAGACAAAAUGUCCAUUUUCCAUCGCCUAUAAAUAGAUUUGAUUUUCAUGGUCCAGAAGUGGAGAAAUUUGGGUCCAAAAUCAGCUAAAAAACCAGCAUCCAACACCCGGUUUCUACCAUCCUCACACUUUCUCUCUCUGCCAUUCCAGCCGCCGUAACACGCUACUAUUAGCCCAUCCGCCACCCUAUCCACCACAACAACACCACCGAGAAUAGCCACCAGCAUCACCGUGAGCCACCCGCGCCACCAGGUUAGCUUCCUUCUUCUUCUUCUCCAGCCGCGUCCUCCACUAUUCUGCGUGAACAGUGGAGAGUUCUCCAGUGUUCACUGGGCAGGGCAGCGCAGACCCAGACCAAAAUUGUUGGGCCGAGUUCGACCCAGUCCAAAAAUUUCCAAAAAAAAAUUCCUUUUGAAAAAUUGUGACUUUCCCGCAUAUUUUUUUUUAAUCAAUUUUGCUUAAUAUUGGUUUGUAUUUUUAUAUCGUAAAGAUACAAAUCUGGUAUUAAAAUACCAGUUUUCGUCAAAACAUUGCAAAAAAUUAUAAAACAAAAAAUAUAUUUUGUUUUCAUGCAUACGACAAAGUCUCUCAAAGAUUAAAAAAAAUCAUAUCGUUUUUUCAUACAAAAAACAUAAAAAAAAUUCAAAAAUAUGUUUUAGCAUGCAUUUUGGCUUUAAUAACAAGUUUAGUGGAGCCAUGAGAACUAGGUCAAAAAUUCCAAAAAAAAUAUUUUUUUUCUUUUAAUAACUGAGAUUAUGAAUUUUACACGUAAAAUGUAUUCCCGGUAUUAAAAAGGUAUUUCUUUUGUUAACAUAGAACAAUUAGGUUUUUUUUACUUGAUAAGAUAAGGAUCUCCUUACCGAGAAUGACUUUUCUUAAACCCUAAACAGAACAACAAUUAGAAAACACGACAAUACCGUAGUUUUUUUAUUAGACAAUCAAACAAUGUAGCUUACUUUAGGUAGGACGUAUUUGGGGUUCUAAUACCUUCCUUUUACACAACCAGUCCCUGUGUCCGAUCUCUAAGAUCAGUUAGGAUUCCUAAUGAUCAAAAUACUAGGUGGCGACUUUCUUUCCCGCUAAAAGAUAAGAAUUCCUUAUUUCCCUAUAUUUCUUGAUUUCUAGAUAUAUACUUGAGAAUGAACGCUAUUCGUCACGACGCCGCACACAUGCGACAUAUACAAUAACAUUCUAGGAGAAUAGUUGUCAUCUAAUAUGCUCCCUCAAGAUAGACCACGGGAAGAGAGGCAACGAUUUUGUAAGAGCAUCUACAAGUUGAUUAUCAGAGGAAACAUGAGCUACACGAAGAGAACUUGUCUGGACUUGAUCCUGAAUAAAAUGAAAGUCUAUUGCAACAUGAGUGGAACACUGGAUUAGAAUACAACUAAGUAACUCUAAUAUUAUCACAAUAGAUUAUAGGAUCAUGAGAUAAAUCAAUUCCAGGAUCAAUUAAGAGAUAACAGAGCCACUUUAGUUCAGUAGCAGUAGCUACUACAUAUCGAUAUUCAGCUUCUGUAGAAGUACAAACAAUAGUUUUUUGUUUCUUUGAAUUCCAAGAGAUAGGAUGACAACCAAAGUACACAAUAUAUGCAUUAGUUGAUGAGUAGUCAUCUUUAUCUCCAGCCCAAUUUACAUCAGAGAAGGCAUGAAGCGAGAGUGAAGAAUCACAAUUAACAAUAACUCCUUUAUCUAAGGUACCAUAUAAGUAGUGCAAGAUACGCUUGACAAGAGCCUAGUGCUCAGUUGAUAAUUAAUGCAUAUAUUGAGAUAAUUUGUUUACCGUAUUAGUGAUGUCUAGAUGGGUCAGAGACAAGUAUUGCAUAUUGCCCACAAUAGUGCGGUAUUCAGUAGGAUCGAGAAGAGAUGUGCUUGAGUGUAAACUGAUUGGAGGACUAUUUUCACUUCAAUCCUUUAUCAUUUUUUCAUGGAGCUCAUCAAAUGAGAUGGAGUUAUCACGAGCUUUAAUAACAUGAACCAAUUCUUUAUAGUUAUCUCUUAGCUCAUCUAGAAUCUUCUCAGUAAGAUCUUCCUCACCUAUUGGUGCACCAAGUAUGGCAAGUUCAUCUGUGUGAGCUUUGAUUGAUUGAAGAAAGUCAGUAAUAUUCAAAUUACCUUUGGUGGAAUUUUUUAAAAGAAUCUUAACUUGUUUAAUGCGUCCACGAGAUGGUUUAGCAUAGGUGUUAGCUAAGAUGAUUCAUACUUCAUGUGAUGUUGUGGCUCUAGCAACAAAUUAAUGAAAUGAUUGUAGGAGAAAGUGAGCCAAUGAGAGUAUUAAGGAUGAGCUGAUCUUGAUGAACCCAUAUGUUGUAAGUAGGAUUUGGUAUGGUUGAGUAUUUGCCAUUAUAAUAACAAGUGGACAGGGCUUGGAUCCGUCAACAUAUCCAAGAAGAUUGUAGCCUAUAAAAAGAGUUUGGAAUUGAAGUUUCCAAAAGACAUAGUUACUGAUAGUGAGUUUAAAUGGAGCUUGAGCAGAGGUGUUUAUGCAUGGUGAUGAGUUUAGAGUUUUUGUCGAAUUGGUUUGAGUAGUCAUUAAAAAAAAAUUGAUGUUUUAUUCAAUGGAUAGAAAGGAGCUCUAAUACCAUGUUGGUAGAUUUCAAGAUGUGGAGAAAGACUCAUUAUUUCCAUUACUAUUCAAAGUGUUAUAUAAUACAAGUAAGUUAUAGAGAUAAUAUAAGAUAAGAUUCUAUCAUAAAGAUUAAUAUACAACUCAUAGAUACAAUCAGAUUUGUGUUUGAAAUAUUCAAAUUAACCAAUAGUCUAGGAGAAUAUCAUCUUAUCAAUAUUGAAGAAUGCAAGAAUAUUAAUUCGAAUAAAAUAUAAUUAACUAGAAAAAAUAAUUAUUAAAUCCAAAUCCAACUAUAUGUCGAUGCCAACAUUAAAACACCAUUUUUCUUAUCAACAUAGCAAGGAUUUUUUUAUCCAACUCCACACCUACCACAUGCAAAGUAAGUAACAGAAGCCUCUUAGUUAAAGCAUCCGAAAAAUAGCUCACCUUCACAUGGAAGAACUUAAAGCAGCAGAUUUUUUAGCCCGAUAAUAAUCACAAUAAUUCCUAACAGCAGUUAACUCGUAAGGUGAAGUAUCAAGAGCCAGCCACUGCUCAAUAGUAAACUUCAUCUGUGAACAAGUCGCAUGGACCCCAGUGGUAGUCACCUCCACGUAGUUAACGUACCAGCCAUGGCCAGAGCCUGACCCAUCAGAGGUCAAGUUCAAGGCGCACGCAGGUGAACUCAAACAUGGUGCUCUCCCACUGAAAAUGUCCAGAUUGCCCCUCUCAAAGUAGUCGUGGCCUGGCUCCAUUAACCCUCCCCAUGCUUCAAUAUUGGAGACGCCCACGUAGUCACCAUACAUGUCAUAUAGUCUCACGCUUAUG
rnacentral:lncRNA from 1 species